ACUUAGGGUUGAGCACAGAAAGUGGUUUCUUGAGAUGGAAUCUACUCCUGGUGAAGAUUCUGUGAA
rnacentral:pre_miRNA from 1 species